rnacentral:rRNA from 1 species
UACGUAGGGGGCAAGCGUUUGUCCGGAAUCAUUGGGCGUAAAGAGCGUGUAGGCGGCUCGGUAAGUCCGCUCUGAAAGCCCGGGGGCUCAACCCCCGGGAGGCGGGCGGAUACUGUCGGGCUAGAGUCCGGAAGAGGCGAGUGGAAUUCCUGGUGUAGCGGUGAAAUGCGCAGAUAUCAGGAGGAACACCAAUGGCGAAGGCAGCUCGCUGGGACGGUACUGACGCUGAGACGCGAAAGCGUGGGGAGCAAACAGG